UUGUUACCUGCCCAUGUCUACCCGUAUCUGCCUGUUCGUGUCCUGCUCGUCCCCUGAUUGUUGGAGCACGGCUACACAGGAAGUGCGGUCCCCAGUGAUGUGGAUCUAUAGUCCUGAAGGCUCGGGAGUAGCAGGAUGUUGUUCGACCUGAUGGUGUGCAUGGAGAGUUUGUGGGGUUCAAGGUUUCUUGAGGCAAGCACUGAUCUGGAUGUACUGGAGCUCCUGGAGACUUAUGCAAGACAUAACAACACAUAUACCUGAAGGGGAUAAAAGCCCUCAACCUGCUUCGCUGACUGACAAAUGGCCUUCAGAUGGUGAAAGGACGCUUUCAAGAGUUGCAUUGUGGCUAUAAAAAAGCUUGUGGUUGAUCAAUAGAGAAAACAAAGUAACUGUUCCAUCAUGUUUAAUCAGGAAGUUGUUCGUGAUGCAACGCAAAGAUUUUUGGACAUGUCAGUUGGGACCUCUCAAAGUUUCUGAAAGU